UGUCUCCUGCUUUUUAUAUGGUUGGAUUCCAAAUGGAGUUACCCACAUUCAAUCCUCUAUAUAAGUUCUAAUGUCUCGAGCCAAUUUUCUUAGACCAAUAGAUUUGUUUAAACCUCUUACCCGGC